UACGUAGGUGGCAAGCGUUAUCCGGAUUUAUUGGGCGUGAAGGGAACGCAGGCGGUCUUUUAAGUCUGAUGUGAAAGCCUUCGGCUUAACCGGAGUAGUGCAUUGGAAACUGGGAGACUUGAGUGCAGAAGAGGAGAGUGGAACUCCAUGUGUAGCGGUGAAAUGCGUAGAUAUAUGGAAGAACACCAGUGGCGAAAGCGGCUCUCUGGUCUGUAACUGACGCUGAGGUACGAAAGCGUGGGUAGCAAACAGG
rnacentral:rRNA from 1 species